GGUAACACUAACUGGAGGACCGAACCGACUAAUGUUGAAAAAUUAGCGGAUGACCUGUGGCUGGGGGUGAAAGGCCAAUCAAACCGGGAGAUAGCUGGUUCUCCCCGAAAGCUAUUUAGGUAGCGCCUCGUGAAUUCAUCUCCGGGGGUAGAGCACUGUUUCGGCUAGGGGGCCAUCCCGGCUUACCAACCCGAUGCAAACUGCGAAUACCGGAGAAUGUUAUCACGGGAGACACACGGCGGGUGCUAACGUCCGUCGUGAAGAGGGAAACAACCCAGACCGCCAGCUAAGGUCCCAAAGUCAUGGUUAAGUGGGAAACGAUGUGGGAAGGCCCAGACAGCCAGGAUGUUGGCUUAGAAGCAGCCAUCAUUUAAAGAAAGCGUAAUAGCUCACUGGUCGAGUCGGCCUGCGCGGAAGAUGUAACGGGGCUAAACCAUGCACCGAAGCUGCGGCAGCGACACUGUGUGUUGUUGGGUAGGGGAGCGUUCUGUAAGCCUGCGAAGGUGUCCCGUGAGGGAUGCUGGAGGUAUCAGAAGUGCGAAUGCUGACAUAAGUAACGAUAAAGCGGGUGAAAAGCCCGCUCGCCGGAAGACCAAGGGUUCCUGUCCAACGUUAAUCGGGGCAGGGUGAGUCGACCCCUAAGGCGAGGCCGAAAGGCGUAGUCGAUGGGAAACGGGUUAAUAUUCCCGUACUUGGUGUUACUGCGAAGGGGGGACGGAGAAGGCUAUGUUGGCCGGGCGACGGUUGUCCCGGUUUAAGCGUGUAGGUGUGUGUUCCAGGUAAAUCCGGUUCACUUUAACACUGAGGCGUGACGACGAGGCACUACGGUGCUGAAGCAACAAAUGCCCUGCUUCCAGGAAAAGCCUCUAAGCAUCAGGUAACAUCAAAUCGUACCCCAAACCGACACAGGUGGUCAGGUAGAGAAUACCAAGGCGCUUGAGAGAACUCGGGUGAAGGAACUAGGCAAAAUGGUGCCGUAACUUCGGGAGAAGGCACGCUGACACGUAGGUGAAGUGAUUUACUCAUGGAGCUGAAGUCAGUCGAAGAUACCAGCUGGCUGCAACUGUUUAUUAAAAACACAGCACUGUGCAAACACGAAAGUGGACGUAUACGGUGUGACGCCUGCCCGGUGCCGGAAGGUUAAUUGAUGGGGUCAGCGCAAGCGAAGCUCCUGAUCGAAGCCCCGGUAAACGGCGGCCGUAACUAUAACGGUCCUAAGGUAGCGAAAUUCCUUGUCGGGUAAGUUCCGACCUGCACGAAUGGCGUAAUGAUGGCCAGGCUGUCUCCACCCGAGACUCAGUGAAAUUGAACUCGCUGUGAAGAUGCAGUGUACCCGCGGCAAGACGGAAAGACCCCGUGAACCUUUACUAUAGCUUGACACUGAACAUUGAGCCUUGAUGUGUAGGAUAGGUGGGAGGCUUUGAAGUGUGGACGCCAGUCUGCAUGGAGCCGACCUUGAAAUACCACCCUUUAAUGUUU
rnacentral:rRNA from 1 species